rnacentral:rRNA from 1 species
CCUACGGGUGGCAGCAGUGGGGAAUUUUGGACAAUGGGCGCAAGCCUGAUCCAGCCAUGCCGCGUGUCUGAAGAAGGCCUUCGGGUUGUAAAGGACUUUUGUCAGGGAAGAAAAGGCUGUUGCUAAUAUCAGCGGCUGAUGACGGUACCUGAAGAAUAAGCACCGGCUAACUACGUGCCAGCAGCCGCGGUAAUACGUAGGGUGCGAGCGUUAAUCGGAAUUACUGGGCGUAAAGCGAGCGCAGACGGUUACUUAAGCAGGAUGUGAAAUCCCCGGGCUCAACCUGGGAACUGCGUUCUGAACUGGGUGACUAGAGUGUGUCAGAGGGAGGUAGAAUUCCACGUGUAGCAGUGAAAUGCGUAGAGAUGUGGAGGAAUACCGAUGGCGAAGGCAGCCUCCUGGGAUAACACUGACGUUCAUGCUCGAAAGCG